GGUUCAGGACGAACGCUGGCGGCACGCUUAACACAUGCAAGUCGAACGGAGUUAUUGGAGCUUGCCUUGAUAAACUUAGUGGCGGACGGGUGAGUAACACGUGAGCAAUCUGCCCUUAAGAGGGGGAUAGCAGUUGGAAACGACUGAUAAUACCGCAUAAGAUAGUAGUACCGCAUGGUACAGCUAUAAAAGAUUUAUCGCUUAAGGAUGAGCUCGCGUCUGAUUAGCUAGUUGGUGAGGUAACGGCUCACCAAGGCAACGAUCAGUAGCCGGACUGAGAGGUUGGACGGCCACAUUGGGACUGAGACACGGCCCAGACUCCUACGGGAGGCAGCAGUGGGGAAUAUUGCACAAUGGAGGAAACUCUGAUGCAGCGAUGCCGCGUGAGGGAAGAAGGUUUUAGGAUUGUAAACCUCUGUUGACAGGGACGAUAAUGACGGUACCUGUUGAGGAAGCUCCGGCUAACUACGUGCCAGCCGCGGC
rnacentral:rRNA from 1 species